rnacentral:rRNA from 1 species
UACGAGGGGGGCAAAUGUUGUUCGGAAUCACUGGGCGUAAAGGGAGCGUAGGCGGGUUUUUAAGUCAGGUGUUUAAUCCCGGGGCCCAACCCCGGACAGGCACUUGAAACUGGGAAUCUUGAAUAGUGGAGAGGUCAGUGGAAUUGGGGGUGUAGCGGUGGAAUGCGUUAGAGAUCCCCAAGAACACCCGUUGCGAAGGCGGCUGACUGGACACAUAUUGACGCUGAGGCUCGAAAGCGUGGGGAGCAAACAGGG